rnacentral:rRNA from 1 species
AUUGAACGCUGGCGGCAUGCUUUACACAUGCAAGUCGAACGGUAACAGGCCGCAAGGUGCUGACGAGUGGCGAACGGGUGAGUAAUGCAUUGGAACGUGCCCAGUCGUGGGGGAUAACGCAGCGAAAGCUGCGCUAAUACCGCAUACGAUCUAUGGAUGAAAGCGGGGGACCGUAAGGCCUCGCGCGAUUGGAGCGGCCGAUGUCAGAUUAGGUAGUUGGUGGGGUAAAGGCUCACCAAGCCAACGAUCUGUAGCUGGUCUGAGAGGACGACCAGCCACACUGGGACUGAGACACGGCCCAGACUCCUACGGGAGGCAGCAGUGGGGAAUUUUGGACAAUGGGCGCAAGCCUGAUCCAGCAAUGCCGCGUGCAGGAAGAAGGCCUUCGGGUUGUAAACUGCUUUUGUACGGAACGAAAAGGCUCUGGAUAAUACCUGGGGCUCAUGACGGUACCGUAAGAAUAAGCACCGGCUAACUACGUGCCAGCCGCCACCGUAAGAC